rnacentral:misc_RNA from 1 species
GCUGUUUGUCUCAAACUUGAAGAAAGAUAUUAUUCAUUUUUAUUUCUAGUGUACCUGCAGAAUAGCACAUCGUCAACAAUGAAGGCCGCCUUGCUAUGCAUGAGUCCCCUCCGUCUUUUGAACAAACUCCUUUAUGUUGAAAGAUUCAGAACCCGCCACUUUCGUGAUGACUCCCUUUUCCGUUAUGAUUCCAGAAAUCAGAUGAGC